CGGUGUAUAAGCAUUAGGCUGAUCCCCUGCUGGAUUCUUGGGUUCACUCACAUCAUAAUCAUUCACUUUUUCCUUUGCUGGGCUCUCCGGCAGGAAGGAAGACGAAGAACCACCCUCCUGCGCCCCACCGGAGUCAGGCUCGGCCUCGGCCGCGAACCGGGGGCUCUUCCGCCUGUGUUUCAGCUCCGGGGCGUGCGGCGGAGCCUGCUCCUCGCCGUCCCCUACCAUCCCGUCCGCCGCUCCGCGCAGCGCCGAACCUGCCGCCUUUCCGCAGCGGGGGCGGCUCCGCCAACCUCACUUCCCCAGGCGGGGAGAGCUGCG
rnacentral:lncRNA from 1 species